GAAAAUUCGAUUCCGUAAACGUUUACUAGUCGGUACGGCGACGAGUAUACAUGGACGGCGCGACGGCCGAACGCGAACUAUACACACCGUUGUUGUUCGUUUUACCCGAGUACCGGAGUCUAUUUCAACCUGCUUCACCAUGACCGACACCGCAGUCGCCGCACCAGCACCGGCCGCCUCGUCGCCGAAAAAGAAGUCCGCCUCUCCAAAGGCGAAGAAAGCCGCGUCGGCCCAUCCUACCACAGCCGUGAUGGUGAUCGCGGCCGUCGAGGAGCUGAAGGAGAAAAAAGGGUCGUCGUUGCCGGCCAUCAAGAAAUACUUGGCCGCCAACUACAAAGUGGACGCCGCCAAGCUUGCGCCUUUCAGGACCACCAAAUUAUUAUAAUAUAUACAAUAAUUGCCCGGUAGGUAGGGUAGUCUCAUACCGAAUUAUAGAUUAUAGUAGUUUCCCCGUGUAAUACAAGCCAGGCAGUAAGUAAUAGUGAUUGUGGAAUGGAACGAAAAAGUUAAAACGACUACAAUACGGGUAAAUACGUUUGUUAUUGUAUAUUUAGGAAAAUGAUGUCCUACAGAUACAAACUUAGAAUAAAUCCGUAGUUAAUCAACUGUCAGUCGGUAUUACCCAUAGAAUACAAAUAAAAUAGAAGUAUGACAAUCGUAUUUUAAACAGGUACAUUAAUAUUUCAAAGUUUUGUUAAUUCAGCAAUUAAUUAUACAAAAAAAACCGAUAAGGUGAUUUAAUAUCAAUAAAUUCUAGAAGAAAUAUUUGUUAACAUACAUCAUCCAUAGAUACUGGAUAAUCGUGUACCUAUCAAUAAAUUAUGUUAUGCUUUGUAUUAUUAUUUUUUUAAAUAUUAAAAAAAAAACAUUGUGCACUAUUAUUUUUGCAGAUAGUAUUUUCUAUCAGACAGUAAUAUCAUACACCAUCCAACGAGAAGGAAAAAGAGGAAAUAAUUAUUGGAAUCGCCAGCUGUUUUAACCAAUUAUUUGAGAAAAUGUAAAAAAUUAUUUUAAAAAAAUGUCAAAUGUCUACGGCAAAAAUUCGAAGACAUAAUAACAUGUCCACUCUGAAGGCUAUUCGUUUCUUCCAGGCUGCGUCCGGCGGCUGUUCAUUUUUUCUACGGCCAGAUAUACGGUGUCAUAGCCGCCGCGGAUUUCGUCUGGGCCAUUGAUAACGGCGCACCGCAUGCGGCGGUCGUGUUGUUUAUCUCCGAACGGAUAAACGUGAAAUGUGUCUUAAAUAUUAACGGAAAAAGUAUUUUUUUAUGGUCAGUGUUUGCGGUUGGGUUUUGGAGUUGAAAAAGUAACGUUCUGUAGGCUGUUCCCAAUGGGUAUACCUACUCUGCGACACUUUCGUUUACCGGCGUUGUGGAAGUUCUGGCGUCUCAUGAAGUCCACAAUUGAUUUUCCUGCGGCCAUCGAAAAAUCUCUGCGGUUAAGUUAUUCAUUUUGAUGUUGAUUAACGGAUAGUUUGCUUCCUAAUGUUACCACUUGAUUUUUCUACGUUGGAUUCACCAAUUUGAGAAGACUGUCAAUCGGUGAUACCGAUACAAGCCAAAUAUUUUGACCGUUGGAAACGACCAGUAUUGUGUCUGUUGAUUUCCAUGCCUGCCGAAAAAUAAUAAGAAUGUCAAAUUGGAUGCAAGAUCACUUUGUUGAUGUUACAAACUCAUUUAGCAAAUAAUAAAACUAAUAACUUAUUUA